AUCAGCCCCAAACGCUUCCACCUGAAGUGACUUGGGGUAGGGGUUGGCGGAGGCGAGACCCCUGGCAUUCCCCCGGGAAUCUGAAGUCUGGUCUCUCAGGAACCUGGAAGGGCAUGCUUCUCCUUGGACACGGAAGUUUGGUAAUCGUGGUUUCUGGAGGGUCUUGUGUCCCCAUCAAUAAUGCCUGGUGUCGUACGAGGGAAGCUGAGACCCAGAGUCUGGAGUUGGUCAUUUGAGGCCUAUGAGGAGGAGAAACAGGGUUUCUGGAUUCCAGGCCCCGCUGUUCAGUUUCAGUAUUAGGGGAUUUCGCAGCUCCAGCUUUUUCUCCAUCCACUGGUGACUUCUGCCAUCUAUUAGUCCAUCUUCUUCCGUCCGAUGGUUGAUAUCACAGCAAAUCCCGCAGUUCGAAGAUGUUAAAUUUGAAGCAGCAAGUCUGUUGUCUGAAUUGUACUGUCAAGAGAAUUCCGUCGAUGCAGCAAAGCCGCUGCUGCGGAAGGCAAUCCAGAUCUCACAGCAGACCCCAUAUUGGCACUGCCGCCUGCUCUUCCAGCUCGCUGGCGCUGUUCCUCCUCAGCAAGGGGAUGGUA
rnacentral:sRNA from 1 species